AUACGUAGGUGACAAGCGUUAUCCGGAUUUACUGGGCGUAAAGGGAGCGUAGGCGGGAGCUUAAGUCAGCGGUUAAAUGGUGCGGCUCAACCGUGCCCUGCCGUUGAAACUGGGUUUCUUGAGAGUGCAAGAGGCGGAUGGAAUUCAUGGUGUAGCGGUGAAAUGCUUAGAUAUCAUGAAGAACUCCGAUUGCGAAGGCAGUCCGCUGGGGCACGUCUGACGCUGAUGCUCGAAGGUGCGGGAAUCAAACAGGAUUAGAUACCCUGGUAGUCCGCACGGUAAACGAUGAUUACCCGCUGUCGGCGGCAGACAGUCGGCGGCCAAGCGAAAGCGAUAAGUAAUCCACCUGGGGAGUACGCCGGCAACGGUGAAACUCAAAUGAAUUGGCGGGG
rnacentral:rRNA from 1 species